rnacentral:lncRNA from 1 species
CCAUUUUCCUUUUUUAAAUGUAAAAAUUUCACCCAUUCUUUAAGGUCCAAAUUAAAUGUCACUUCAUCCAGAAAGCCCUCCUUGACCCAUCCAGCUAGGCAAGUCCUCACCUUCCUUCAACCCUCAUGGGUCUUUGACCAGUGACUCCAGGAGUGACUGUUCUUACUCUUUUCCUUGGCUUAGAGCUGUUUACCGUAUAAAUCUUUCAUCUCCCUUAAUCUGGACUAUGAGCUACUUUUGCCAGAAACCAUGUCAUACCUUCCCUGUAUCCUCAGCUUGGGAAAGAGCAAGGAUGCAAUCCUUGCUGGAUAAUGGAAAGCAAAGAGGAAGGAAGGAAGGAAGGAGGAAUAGAAGGAAGAAAGAAACUAAAUCUGUUUCUAAUCCCUGGACAUAAAGAACAGACUGAUUUACAGCAACCACCUGGAUACGAACAAAAUGACUCUUCUCUUCAAUGAGCACCAGAGAGGCCAGAGCAAGUUUCUCGUAAAAAUUCCCAGUCCCUACAUUUUCUAACAGCAAUUCUCAUUUCUUUUCUCUAGGUUUCUAAAUCCACUGCAGGGCACCUCUGUUAUGCUCCAGCCUGGCUCACAUUGCCACAAUGUCAGGCUGAUCUGUCCUCUAUGCUUCAGCAUCAGCCAAAAUGAAAAGAUAAGAUGCUACCUGAAGAAUGAAAACGAACUUGUUAGGUCUUGAGUUGCAAGCAAUGCAUACAAAGAUGAGGAAACCAAGGAUCAAAUGGCUAAACAGCUGGAGAGUGGCAGUGCUGAGAUUUCUGCGGAGGUGGUCAGGCUCCAAAUCCCAUCUUCCUUCCUGAUGAGAACCCCACGCUGCAUUAGAGAAAUCACAGAAAAUGGCGCCACUGCCCUGCAGGGCAGACCUGGACCUGAUGAUACAGCAAUCAGCAACCAGUGUCCUCUCAGGUCUUCAUUUAAAUAUUUCUCCAGAAAAGAAAAGACCGGGUAUUCAAAUGGAGACUAACAAGGACCUGAGAACUGUACUAGGAAGAACUGGUGAAUAAAGCACUGUAAACUCAUCCUCAGUGGCUGUCCUUCUGAAUUGGUGCCUUUGGAGACAAAAAUACAUAUUUUCUCUCUGAAGAGAUCCCACAGCUGUGUGAGGGUCCUCCCUGGAUUCCCAGCUCAGGCCAGAGCAGCCAAGUAGCACUCCCAGGAGAGGAGGAGAUGGCCCAUGGGCAAGCCUCUGGCUUCCGCAGUCUCUGUUGGUGGUCAUCCUUGGAGGGACAGGACUCUGGGGUCACAGAGGAAGACUUCCUCAAACAUUUCAACCGGGGCUUCAAGAAUAAGUAGGACUGGAUAGACCACGAAGUGAGAAGGUGAGCGACUCUGGCAGAGCUCUGCAAGACUCUGUGAAAAGGCAUGAAAGGGCCUCGCAUUGGGGGAAAUACAUGUACAUGCACAUACAUGCAUAUACAUACACUGAAUAUUAAAUAUAUAUGAUAUAUAUCACAAAUAAUGUUAUAUAUGUAUAUAGAUGUACAUAAAAUGGUGUUAUGUGAGUAUAUACCUACAUGUUAACAAUGGUUACUUUUGGUGACAAAUAAAAAU